UACAGAGGUCUCAAGCGUUGUUCGGAUUCAUUGGGCGUAAAGGGUGCGUAGGUGGUGAUGCAAGUCUGGUGUGAAAUCUCGGAGCUCAACUCCGAAAUUGCACCGGAUACUGCGUGACUCGAGGACUGUAGAGGAGAUCGGAAUUCACGGUGUAGCAGUGAAAUGCGUAGAUAUCGUGAGGAAGACCAGUUGCGAAGGCGGUGGUCUGGGCCGGCACUGACGCUGAGGAGCGAAAGCGUGGGGAGCGAACAGG
rnacentral:rRNA from 1 species